CUGCUAUAGCAGGCAAUUCCACGUGAGCCUUACGGUGCUACCUCAGUAGGAGGCUACAAUUGCCGUGAGAGCAUCGGAAAUUUUGCAGCGAAGUUGGCACAUGAAGAACUGAAGCACGCCCAUCGAGCACCGAUGUAUUUGCAAGGACAACGUUUGAAACCACCUGCGAUGACACCUCCUUCCUCGGAUGAGAUGCUGUACUAAGAGGCCCCACCAGACUACAUUCCUUCCUGCUCCAGACCACCCGCAUCCCACUUAGGCACUCCAGCGUCCGCUACGUUGAAGCCGAAUAUCUUGGUCUUGAGGCACAUUUUGCUUGAGCGAUUCGGCGGCCAUGCGAACACUUCCACCAGGGAAGAAACCGCAAUUAUGAAGACUUCUUUCACGGUCAGCGUGAGUCGGUACUACCAUUCCCAAGUCUAACACCACGAGAACAACCAAGAAAGAUGAACCUUUCUUUCAGACAAAAGAGAACUCCGAAUAAGCAGAUCCUCCCAGAGUGUUCACGGUGUAUGUCAUCGACAGUUUCCCGGCGGGGCGAAAUGCUCUUCUCGGCAGUCUUCCAGUGUCCAGGAUGGUGCAUAAUGUGACAUGUUGUCCACGAAUAUCUACAAUGUGCACCCGGGAAUUGUGCAGAAGAUCAUUGAAUCUAGCUUUUUUUUUUCUUUGUAAAGCAACACAGAAUGAAAGCGUCAGUAUUCCUGUAUGCGAUGGUAACAUGCGGCCUGCUGUGCCGAGAAGUAUUAAGGCGUGCGAGCGCAGGCGCUAACAGUCUUGUUCAUGCUAUUUACACUACUAAGCCAACGAGCGAAAGAGCAAAGCCGCCUUCUGGCUUACCCUUGUCUGGAUAUGGACCAACGUCCCAAACCAAAACUACCCCCCGGAGAAGCAUGGCUCGGGUUUGGGGGCUGCUUGUUGGAGGCGAAAUGAAUGAUGACGACGGAAGCAAUGGUUGCGCGUUCUACUUUGUAGAACCCAACUCUUCCUGAUCUGACAAGGCAGCCCACAUAAUAAAGUGCUUAAUGACUCCUGAUGCGUUAUGCAAAAAAUGCCUCUAAUACAAGAAACCACAAAUAAAACGUUAAUGAACCUGGCACGUGCGCAAUAAAUGUCAUUUUAACGU
rnacentral:lncRNA from 1 species